GAUGAACGCUGGCGGCGUGCCUAAUACAUGCAAGUCGAGCGAACGGACGAGAAGCUUUCUUCUCUUAUGUUAGCGGCGGACGGGUGAGUAACACGUGGAUAACCUACCUAUAAGACUGGGGUCACUUCGGGAGCCCGAAUCUCAUACCCGAUCAUAUUUUGAACCGCAUGGUUCUACAGUCCAAGACGGUCUUGCUGUCACUUAUCCAUGUAUCCGCGCUGCAUUAGCUAGUUGGUGAGGUAACGGCUUACCAAGGCUACGAUGCAUAGCCGACCUGAGAGGGUGAUCGGCCACACUGGAACUGAGACACGGUCCAGACUCCUACGGGAGGCAGCAGUAGGGAAUAUUCCGCAAUGGGCGAAAGCCUGACGGAGCAACGCCGCGUGAGUGAUGAAGGUCUUCGGAUCGUAAAACUCUGUUAGUAGGGAAGAACAUAUGUGUAAGUAACUGUGCACAUCUUGACGGUACCUAAUCAGAAAGCCACGGCUAACUACGUG
rnacentral:rRNA from 1 species